rnacentral:rRNA from 1 species
UACGUAGGGUGCGAGCGUUAAUCGGAAUUACUGGGCGUAAAGCGGGCGCAGACGGUUACUUAAGCAGGAUGUGAAAUCCCCGGGCUCAACCUGGGAACUGCGUUCUGAACUAGGUGACUAGAGUGUGUCAGAGGGAGGUAGAAUUCCACGUGUAGCAGUGAAAUGCGUAGAGAUGUGGAGGAAUACCGAUGGCGAAGGCAGCCUCCUGGGAUAACACUGACGUUCAUGCCCGAAAGCGUGGGUAGCAAACAGGAUUAGAUACCCUGGUAGUCCACGCCCUAAACGAUGAUAACUAGCCGUCAGGGCACAUGGUGUUUUGGUGGCGCAGCUAACGCAUUAAGUUAUCCGCCUGGGGAGUACGGUCGCAAGAUUAAAACUC